CGGAGGAAAAGAAACCAACAGGGAUUGCCUCAGUAACGGCGAGUGAAGCGGCAAGAGCUCAAAUUUGAAAGCUGGCUCCUUCGGGGUCCGCAUUGUAAUUUGCAGAGGAUGCUUCGGGAGUGGCCCCCAUCUAAGUGCCCUGGAACGGGCCGUCAUAGAGGGUGAGAAUCCCGUCUGGGAUGGGGUGUCCACGCCCGUGUGAAGCUCCUUCGACGAGUCGAGUUGUUUGGGAAUGCAGCUCUAAAUGGGUGGUAAAUUUCAUCUAAAGCUAAAUACUGGCCGGAGACCGAUAGCGCACAAGUAGAGUGAUCGAAAGAUGAAAAGCACUUUGAAAAGAGAGUUAAACAGCACGUGAAAUUGUUGAAAGGGAAGCGCUUGCGACCAGACUCGCCCACGGGGUUCAGCCGGCAUUCGUGCCGGUGUACUUCCCCGCGGGCGGGCCAGCGUCGGUUUGGGCGGCCGGUCAAAGGCCCUCGGAAUGUAACGCCCCCCGGGGCGUCUUAUAGCCGAGGGUGCCAUGCGGCCAGCCCGGACCGAGGAACGCGC
rnacentral:rRNA from 1 species